CCAGGCAAUGUGGUGUUCAGGUCGUUCCGCGGAGGCACUGCUCCACCCUAAGUCCAAUAAUGAGAACGGUUUCUCGGACAUGGCCCAUGGAGGGUGAAAGGCCCGUGGGGGUGGAGAUCAGGUUGGCCAGUGCUGCUCUGGGGAGACCUUGGAGUCGGGUUGUUUGUGAAUGCAGCCCAAAGCGGGUGGUAGACUCCAUCCAAGGCUAAAUACAACACGAGUCCGAUAGCGAACAAGUACCGUGAGGGAAAGUUGAAAAGUACUCUGAAGAGAGAGUAAACAGUGCGUGAAGCCGUUCAGAGGUAAACAGAUAGAGUUGAACUGUGAGUUCCGAUGGUUCAGCUGGUGACUUUGGUUGAGCUUGGUCAAAAUGGUUGGGCUUUGAGGUCUGUGUAGCAACAGGUUCUUGCCUUCGGGUGAGAAUGCGCGAUGCACUCGUCGAGUGUUGUGCGCCUCAGAUGUCCCGAGCCGAGUCGCCAGUGCAUUCCGUCGGGACGGUCACCACGACCGGCACUAUCGUCUGUCUUUUGUGGUUAAACCGUGCGUGCUUCGUCCUUGUGGCUUUGUGCGUGCGGGAUGGCAGGUAGCUCAUUGGUUUGUUUACAAGCCUUUGGGUGAAAUAGCUGACUGCAAUUUGACUGUGCGUUGUGCCGGGGACGGCGGCUUGAGGUGUGUGCGUGUGUGCUAGUUUGCUGGCGUAUCCGUGUCAGGUUGCUCAGUUGCUCACCUAGUGGGCCAAGCGGCGACUGGGAUGCGUUCGGCGAGCGGUCGCGCUCGAGACAC
rnacentral:rRNA from 1 species